AUGAGGAAUUUAAGUUGGUACAGGAACACUUCAAGAAUUGAUGGCCAGAUGGGCAGUUUAGAAGUUACCGUACUUGUCGGAAAGGUUUUUCUGGAGCUCUCCAAAAUGCCUGCAAAAGUAAGUAUGACACUGAAGUUCCUGGAAGAGACCCGCAAAAAAAUCCUGGAAGAGGCUACAAAUUUGAAGGAUUUACAAGAGCAAUUGGCAUACUUGCUCAAAGUAGAGCACUCCAGAACCAUCCACCAUCUCAGUUGCAGGGCAAGUGAGCAUUCUAGAAGAAUGGAAGGCCAAGUUAUACACAAGAUGUUUAGGUGA
rnacentral:rRNA from 1 species